rnacentral:lncRNA from 1 species
CAGCUCCUGCAGGUAGGGUCAGCUUUCCAAGACCAUCUCUUGGAAAGUCCUUUGAAGGACUGAAGCUCAUCACCUGUGCUGAGAACCUGGAAGGUGAAACUAAAGUUGGCAAGGUUGGGACUAAAUUCAAGAUGCCUGCCUUUACAUUUUAAGCUUUCUCUGUUAUUCCAUAACAUAAGAAACAGAAAUACAAAAGUGAACAUCAGUUGGGAAGAUCUGAAUAGUUAAAGCAGAAUUUCUCAAGUUGGCUGUGAAUUGAUGCUAACAUUGUCACCAGGUGUUAUAGCCUUGCAAGCUCAUCAUCUGGGACAAAGCAUCUUGAUGAUGGGAGUGUGUUGUUAU